AUCAAUACUGAAUAGGAUGAUGUUUACUUCUUUGAUUUGCAGUGAAUCGCACUGCGAAUCACAGCCCAGUAAUCUCAUUUUGAUAAAACAUCUUUGGUGUCAGAUGUACAUAAACAAACAUGAACUGGAUGCCAUUUUAAACUUUUAAUAAUGUGUUUUUAUAUUUUGGACUGUGCUUUUUAGUUAAUGUAAAUCUUAACCGGAAGUAUAUGAGCCAUCGAAUACCUUGCAAUGGAAGGUGGAUGUGAUUCAGGUGGGGCUGUGGUGGAGGGGGAGGGGGUGGAGGAGGAGGAGGUGGUGGUGGCGGAGGAUGUGGAGGAGGCGGGGGAGGCGGAUUUUCAUCAGGAGGCGGAGACUAUUGUGGCGGUGGCGGGAUGUCUUCAUAUGGUGGGGGCGGUUAUAAUUACGGAAACAAUUCUGUCUGUCCGUCUUCCGGAUAUGCACCAGGCUAUACGUCAGGAUAUACUUAUGGACAGCCAAGAUCUAACACAAGAGAUGCAUGGGCACACACAAGAGCCAAUAACCAGCUAGGACGUCCAAAUAACUCAGGGGCUUGUACCGGAGCCAAGCUGAUAAUAAUUGUAUUGGUCUGUGUCUGUGUCCUUCUAGUGAUAGCCGCCGUCAUAUUCCUCUUUACUAAUAAAUAAAAUAGAUCUUGAACAUUUUCGAUGACAUUUUGAAAAGAUUUUCUCUUGACUGGAGCUACGGCAAACGCUCCGCUUUAAAUACUUGUAACGCUAUACAACAAUUGUAAAUGUUUACGUCAUGUUAACGUUAACAAGGUUGUUAUUAUUAUUAACCGUUGGAACAUUUGUAAAUCUGACAUUGUGUUAUGUGGAGAGACAAACAGGUGAGAAAAACUUCAUUGACAUGUGAUAUUAUUUUGUGUAAAUAAAAAGUAUUUAUUCAUUAUUUCUUUGUUAAAAUGGGUAUAUUGUUACUUUAUGAUGUUGUUAGGUUCUUUGUAGAUUAUUCCACUUUUCAAAACACAAACUUUAGUGUAUCAAUAAAAAUGUAGCCAAGGCAUCUCACUGUUAGUUCUUUUAUUGAGUGUGAGCAUGGUUCGGAAAAAAAUUGUGUGAAACGAAGGCGACAAUA